AACGAACGCUGGCGGCAGGCUUAACACAUGCAAGUCGAGCGCCCCGCAAGGGGAGCGGCAGACGGGUGAGUAACGCGUGGGAACGUACCCUCUGCUACGGAAUAGCUCCGGGAAACUGGCAUUAAUACCGUCUGUGACCUACGGGGGAAAGAUUUAUCGGCGAAGGAUCGGCCCGCGUUGGAGUAGUUAGUUGGUGGGGUAAUGGCCUACCAAGGCGACGAUCCAUGGCUGGUCUGAGAGGAUGAUCAGCCACAUUGGGACUGAGACACGGCCCAAACUCCUACGGGAGGCAGCAGUGGGGAAUAUUGGACAAUGGGCGCAAGCCUGAUCCAGCCAUGCCGCGUGAGUGAUGAAGGCCUUAGGGUUGUAAAGCUCUUUCACCGGAGAAGAUAAUGACGAUAUCCGGAGAAUAAGCCCCGUCUAACUUCGUGCCAGCCGCCGCCGUAACAC
rnacentral:rRNA from 1 species